AUUGAACGCUGGCGGCAUGCCUUACACAUGCAAGCCGAACGGUAACAGGUCUUCGGAUGCUGACGAGUGGCGAACGGGUGAGUAAUACAUCGGAACGUGCCUAGUAGUGGGGGAUAACUACUCGAAAGAGUGGCUAAUACCGCAUGAGAUCUACGGAUGAAAGCAGGGGAUCGCAAGACCUUGUGCUACUAGAGCGGCCGAUGGCAGAUUAGGUAGUUGGUGGGAUAAAAGCUUACCAAGCCGACGAUCUGUAGCUGGUCUGCGAGGACGAUCAGCCACACUGGGACUGAGACACGGCCCAGACUCCUACGGGAGGCAGCAGUGGGGAAUUUUGGACAAUGGGCGAAAGCCUGGUCCAGCAAUGCCGCGUGCAGGAUGAAGGCCUUCGGGUUGUAAACUGCUUUUGUACGGAACGAAAAGCCCCGGGUUAAUACCCUGGGGUCAUGACGGUACCGUAAGAAUAAGCACCGGCUAACUACGUGCCAGCCGCCGCAGUAA
rnacentral:rRNA from 1 species